UACGAAGGGGGCUAGCGUUGUUCGGAAUUACUGGGCGUAAAGCGCACGUAGGCGGGUUUGUAAGUAGAGGGUGAAAUCCCAGGGCUCAACCCUGGAACUGCCUUCUAGACUGCAAGCCUGGAGGUCAGGAGAGGCGAGUGGAAUACCGAGUGUAGAGGUGAAAUUCGUAGAUAUUUGGUGGAACACCAGUGGCGAAGGCGGCGAUCUGGGAAGAUACUGACGCUGAGGUGCGAAAGCGUGGGGAGCAAACAGG
rnacentral:rRNA from 1 species